rnacentral:rRNA from 1 species
CCUACGGGAGGCUGCAGUGGGGAAUAUUGGACAAUGGGCGAAAGCCUGAUCCAGCCAUGCCGCGUGUGUGAAGAAGGCCUUCGGGUUGUAAAGCACUUUCAGUGGGGAAGAAAGCCUUGGGGCUAAUACCCUCGAGGAAGGACAUCACCCACAGAAGAAGCACCGGCUAACUCCGUGCCAGCAGCCGCGGUAAUACGGAGGGUGCGAGCGUUAAUCGGAAUUACUGGGCGUAAAGCGCGCGUAGGCGGUCUGAUAAGCCGGUUGUGAAAGCCCCGGGCUCAACCUGGGAACGGCAUCCGGAACUGUCAGGCUAGAGUGCAGGAGAGGAAAGUAGAAUUCCCGGUGUAGCGGUGAAAUGCGUAGAGAUCGGGAGGAAUACCAGUGGCGAAGGCGGCCUUCUGGACUGACACUGACGCUGAGGUGCGAAAGCGUGGGUAGCAAACAGGAUUAGAUACCCUUGUAGUC